rnacentral:rRNA from 1 species
CCCUUAGAUGUUCUGGGCCGCACGCGCGCUACACUGAUUCAUGCAACAAGUUUUGUCCUUGGCUGAUAGGCCUGGGUAAUCUUUGAACGUGAAUCGUAAUGGGGAUAGAUGAUUGCAAUUAUUCAUCUUCAACGAGGAAUUCCUAGUAAACGCAAGUCAUCAGCUUGCAUUGAUUACGUCCCUGCCCUUUGUACACACCGCCCGUCGCACCUACCGAUUGAAUGGUCCGGUGAAAUCUUCGGAUCUGAGAGAUGUCUGAUUAAUUUCGGACGCCUUUUGGAAAAGUUGCUUAAACCUUACCAUUUAGAGGAAGGUGAAGUCGUAACA